AGAGAGAGGCAGAGACACAGGCAGAGGGAGAAGCAGGCUCCAUGCACCGGGAGCCCGACGUGGGAUUCGAUCCCGGGUCUCCAGGAUCGCGCCCUGGGCCAAAGGCAGGCACCAAACCGCUGCACCACCCAGGGAUCCCGGAACACUGAUUUCAAGCCAUGGAUUCUAAUAUUUUAUCACAUAAGAAAAAUGCAGUUCACCAGAUUUCCUUGGAGGUGGAAGAGUUUAAAGGCUACUUACUUUUCUGCUCAACUCAGGAGGAAAAAACUUGUACAGGUUGGACUAUGCUGAUAUGUGGAAUUAAGUCAGAGCACUGGUAGCUGCAGGCUGUCCAGAAGUCUUUGACUUUUAAUUGUGGUUGCUGAGAAAAAAUAGAAUGGCUGGAUAUUUUGCUUCAGGGCCAGUCUCUGUCAUUCGAUUCCAAUAAAUGAAAAUAGGCUUAAUUAACAAAACAACAGUAAAUACUGUCACUGUAUGAUUAUGGACUUUUGUGUUUAUUCCUUGCCAUGUGGUGGGUCAG